GAUACCAACAAUGCCAGUCUCAGGAAAGGGCUGGAGCGGAAAGAGAGCCAAAUCCUAUCACACCUUGUGUUCCAGACACUGUUUCAAACGGGCUGUGAAGCCAUAUCAGAAUUCCCAACAGAGACAACUUAAAGAAGAAAGAAUGCAUAGUGGCUCAUGGUUCCCAGGGAGAGCUGUCCAUCAAAAAGGGGGAAGGCGUGGCCGAGUCUGUGACCUGAGAGCAUGGAGCAGAGGCUGCUCCUAUGUAAGAAGCAGGGAGCUCAGUCAGGAGCCAGAAUCUCUGCCCCAGUAACCCACUCCUGCUGGUGAAGCCACAGCCUCCAAACCGGCGCCACCAGCAGGGGCUAGGUGUUCAUACACAUGCAGCUGUGGUGAGAGUGAGGGUUAGAGAGGGGGACACCUGGCUGGCUAGCCAGAGAGAGACACAGAGACAGAACAAAGACCUACAGCUCCUGACCCUGCCUCCUUCCUACCCAGGGUCAAUUAGGCCUAGAAUUUCCUGUAGGCCUUGUCCUCAGCUGGAGGCAAUAAAUCAUGCUAUGGGUUUCUGUUGCAUAGUGGUUGUCAGUCUGACAUCUCCCACACAAUGUGCUCAUACCCACGCAGGUACAAGGCCCUAUGUCUAUCUGCACGGGAAUCCUGGGGGCACUUAGCUCUCAAGUGCAAGUGUACGUUUCGAUUAAAGUCCCUUUUCUCUGUCUCAAGGC
ensembl:processed_transcript Gm38132 predicted gene, 38132